GAUGAACGCUGGCGGCGUGCCUAAUACAUGCAAGUCGAGCGAAUGGAUUAAGAGCUUGCUCUUAUGAGGUUAGCGGCGGACGGGUGAGUAACACGUGGGUAACCUGCCCAUAAGACUGGGAUAACUCCGGGAAACCGGGGCUAAUACCGGAUAACAUUUUGAACCGCAUGGUUCGAAAUUGAAAGGCGGCUUCGGCUGUCACUUAUGGAUGGACCCGCGUCGCAUUAGCUAGUUGGUGAGGUAACGGCUCACCAAGGCAACGAUGCGUAGCCGACCGGGGGGGGUGAGCGGCGACAGUGGGGCUGAGACACGGCCCAGACUCAUGCGGGAGGCAGCAGUAGGGAAUCUUCCGCAAUGGACGAAAGUCUGACGGAGCAACGCCGCGUGAGUGAUGAAGGCUUUCGGGUCGUAAAACUCUGUUGUUAGGGAAGAACAAGUGCUAGUUGAAUAAGCUGGCACCUUGACGGUACCUAACCAGAAAGCCACGGCUAACUACGUGCCAGCAGCCGCCGUAA
rnacentral:rRNA from 1 species